rnacentral:rRNA from 1 species
CAAUAGCGUAUAUUAAAGCUGUUGCGGUUAAAAAGCUCGUAGUUGGAUUUCUGUCAAGGACAACUGGUCCGCCCUUCGGGUGAGCACAUAGUUUGGUCUUGGCAUCUUGUUGGAAACUGUUGCUGCACUUGGUUGUGUGGCGCAGCGUCCAGCACUUUCACUUUGAGGAAAUCGGAGUGUUUCAAGCAGGCACAUGCCUUUGGACACAGUAGCAUGGAAUAAUUAGAUUGGGCUUUUGCUCCAACUUGUCGGUUUCUGGAGCUGAGGUGAGAAUUAAUGGGGAUUGUUGGGGGCAUCCGAAUUUAGCCGUCAGAGGUGAAAUUCUUGGAUCUGCUAAAGACGGACAACUGCGAAAGCGUUUGCCCAGGAUGUUUUCAUUGA